rnacentral:lncRNA from 1 species
AUCGGCGAGGCAAGUGUACGUGCGGCACAUGAGUGGUGUUCGGCUUGUGUGGCUAGGUUCGAUCCCUGCUCGAGCAGCGACGUCCUAGCUCGCAUGCCAUCUCAGUCAUGUCACAAGCGCAAAUUAGGCUUGUUCGACGUCGGUUUUCUGUGUAGUGGUGUAUGGCUUGUGUGGCUAGGUUGGAUCUCUGCUCGAGCAGCGAUGUCCUAGCUCGCAUGACAUCUCAGUCAUGUCACAAGCGCAAAUUAGGCUUGUU